CCUACGGGAGGCAGCAGUAAGGAAUAUUGGACAAUGCCCGCAAGGGUGAUCCAGCCAUGCCGCGUGCAGGAAGAAGGCCCUAUGGGUCGUAAACUGCUUUUACACCGGAGAAAACCUCCCUUCGUGAAGGGAGCUGAUAGUAUGGUGAGAAUAAGCAUCGGCUAACUUCGUGCCAGCAGCCGCGGUAAGACGAAGGAUGCAAGCGUUAUCCGGAUUCAUUGGGUUUAAAGGGAGCGUAGGUGGACUGAUAAGUCAGUGGUGAAAUCUUCGAGCUUAACUCGGAAAUUGCCAUUGAUACUGUUAGUCUUGAGUACAGUUGCUGUGGGCGGAAUAUGACAUGUAGUGGUGAAAUACAUAGAGAUGUCAUAGAACACCGAUUGCGAAGGCAGCUCACAAAGCUGUAACUGACACUGAGGCUCGAAAGUGCGGGGAUCAAACAGGAUUAGAUACCCUGGUAGUCCGCACCGUAACGAUGAUUACUCGCUGCUAGAGGGCAACUUUUAGUGGCUUAGCGAAAGCGAUAAGUAAUCCACGNGGAGAGCGCGACGAGAGAGAGAGUAGAGNGNGAGAGNGCGAGGCGACGACGAGGGAGAGG
rnacentral:rRNA from 1 species